rnacentral:rRNA from 1 species
GACGAACGCUGGCGGCGUGCUUAACACAUGCAAGUCGAACGGAAAGGCCCCCAUCUUGGUGGGGGUGCUCGAGUGGCGAACGGGUGAGUAACACGUGGGUGAUCUGCCCUGUACUUCGGGAUAAGCUUGGGAAACUGGGUCUAAUACCGGAUAGGACCAUGGUUUAGUGUCUCAUGGUGGAAAGAUUAUUGUUUUGGUGCAGGAUGAGCUCGCGGCCUAUCAGCUUGUUGGUGGGGUAAUGGCCUACCAAGGCGUCGACGGGCAGCCGGCCUGAGAGGGUGGACGGCCACAGUGGGACUGAGAUACGGCCCAGACUCCUACGGGAGGCAGCAGUGGGGAAUAUUGCACAAUGGGCGCAAGCCUGAUGCAGCGACGCCGCGUGGGGGAUGACGGCCUUCGGGUUGUAAACUCCUUUCGUUAGGGACGAAGCCGCACUUUUUUGGGGUGUGGUGACGGUACCUUUGUUAAGAAGCACCGGCUAACUACGUG